CCUANGGGUGGCAGCAGUCGAGAAUAAUUCACAAUGGGGGAAACCCUGACGCAGCAACGCCGCGUGAGUGAUGAAGGCCCUUGGGUCGUAAAGCUCUGACAGAGGGAAAGAAAUGCAGAGUGGCUAAUAUCCACAUUGCUUGACGGUACCCUCAAAGGAAGCACCGGCUAACUCCGUGCCAACAGCCGCGGUAAUACGGGGGGUGCAAGCGUUGUUCGGAUUUAUUGGGCGUAAAGCGCGUGUAGGCGGUUUUAUAAGUCUGAUGUGAAAGCCCCGGGCUCAACCCGGGAAGUGCAUUGGAUACUGUAAGACUUGAAUACGGGAGAGGGCAGUGGAAUUCCUAGUGUAGGAGUGAAAUCCGUAGAUAUUAGGAGGAACACCGGUGGCGAAGGCGGCUGCCUGGACCGAUAUUGACGCUGAGACGCGAAAGCGUGGGUAGCAAACAGGAUUAGAUACCCCANUANUC
rnacentral:rRNA from 1 species